AAGUCCUAUACUCAAAUUUUAAAGAUUAUUCAAUUUUCACCGUCCAUUUUGAUAUAAUUUAUUUACUAAGUAAACGAUAUCGAAAAAAACUAAAAUUUUAUUCCUAAGACAUUCAUAUACCCUAGAUCAUAUUUAACGGUGUGGAUCAUUGAUUUGAACGCCCUAAGAUCGAAAACAAACACUAUAGUACCGGAGCUCGGUACUAUAGAUAGUAUAGUAGCCUAAUUCUAUAUAUAUAUAUAUAUAGUAGGUCUUGUGUGCUAUUAGGAGCACGGAGGUCUCUGUGUUCCUAAACUGUUUUCAAUGAUAGAGUUUCUGAAUCGAUGAUCAGCUCCGUUAGACUUGAUCUAGCAUAUUUGAAGUAUCUAGAAAUUAAAUUUUGCGGUUUUUCGAUAUCAUUUACCUAGCAAUCGAAAGGGUUCAAAAUCAACGGCUGAAAAUAAAAAUUUCACAAAAAGUAGUGAUAUAACACUAAAAUUUUCGAUUAGAGAUAUUGAUCUUGCAGUAAAUAGUAUAAAGAAUUUUCCAUCAAAAUUUUAUCUGAUUUGAAUACUUCUACACCGUUAAACUUGCAAACAAUAUACAUUAACCAUUAAAAAUUGUUGAUUUUGAACACUUUCGAUCACUAGGUAAAUGAUAUCGAAAAAUUACAAAAUUUAUUUUCCAAAUAGUUCAAAUAUACUAGAUCAAGUCUAACAGAGCCGAUCGUUGAUUCGGAAGAUCCAUCAUCGAAAAUAGCUUACGAGCACGGAGGCCUCCGUGCUCCUAAUAGCACACAAGACCUACUAUAUAUAUAUACAUAUAUAUAUAUAUAUAUAUAUAUAUACAUAUAUGUAUAUAUAUACAUAUAUAUAGAGUCCAGCUAUAGUGCUUGUAAAAGCACCAAGCAUUUGGUACUUGUAAGUUUUUUACCGUUAAAUCUACUCCUCGGAUCAUUUUCAACCAUUAGAUUAUACUAUUCAACCAACCGCCCACUCAACCCUAGGUGGUCCAUAUCAUCCUAACCGCAUAUCUCUUAAUCUAAUGGUUAAAAAUUUACAAGUACCAAUAACUUGGUACUUUUAAAAGCAUAGGAGCUCAAUUCCAUAUAUA
rnacentral:lncRNA from 1 species